AUCUCCAAAAGUGUCUACAGUGUUUUCUAUGGUGGUCUAGGGUUUUAACUCGACCUCAACAUCAAGGCCGCACUACAUCAGAUGAUCAGCAUCAUGCUUCUCUAUGUCUUUUGAUCAGUCUUGUAUUUAUCUCUGUAUCCUUUGUUCAUAUUUCUGUUCAUGUGUCUCGUUGUUGAUCCAUUGUUGGAUCUGAUCCAGUGUUGGAUCUUGUAAUUUGGUGAUUUCAACUGAUAUUCUUUUCGGUUGAUCUUGUAUUUUGUAUUUGUGAUUUAGAUCUUACAUAAGUAAGAUCUAGGGUUUCGGUUGGGUGUUUUUGGUUUGGGUUAACUAAUAAAAGUUUUACGUCACCGUUUUGUCGCUUCUCUUGUGUUUCGUAUUGUUUCUUGUGUUGUGUGUUGAGAAAUCAUACCAUUUGACAUGGUAUCAGAGCUUGCUCUGAUCGAUUAUCAUCGAUUGAUAGAUUUUGGUUCUUCCGCUGGUUUGGUACGUUUCGCUACUUGGAAUUGUUUGUUUUGAAUCCCAGAGAUUUGGUCAUAUUUGGUUCAUCACACAUCUGGCAUGAUUGAUAUGUUGGUGUUAGGGUUUCGAUUAAAACCCUAGUUGUCUUUGUUCUUGACUGGCGAUCUUGGUGCAUUCAUAUUUGUAGAAGUUCUUACAUCAGGUAUAGGAUCUUGUUACAACGGAUUGGUAUUCUUACCUCUAUAAGCGCUUUCUGUUAGGCAUUCUGUUAGGCAUUCUAUGACUCUGCACUUCUUAAUGUUUACAAGAUGAUCAAGAGUUAGUUUUCAGAAUGUGAUGAGCUUGAUAUGGAU
rnacentral:lncRNA from 1 species